GUAGGUGGCAAGCGUUGUCCGGAAUUAUUGGGCGUAAAGCGCGCGCAGGGCGGUCCUUUAAGUCUGAUGUGAAAGCCCACGGCUCAACCGUGGAGGGUCAUUGGAAACUGGGGGACUUGAGUACAGAAGAGGAAAGCGGAAUUCCAAGUGUAGCGGUGAAAUGCGUAGAGAUUUGGAGGAACACCAGUGGCGAAGGCGGCUUUCUGGUCUGUAACUGACGCUGAGGCGCGAAAGCGUGGGGAGCAAACAGGAUUAGAUACCCUGGUAGUCCACGCCGUAAACGAUGAGUGCUAAGUGUUAGGGGGUUUCCGCCCCUUAGUGCUGCAGCUAACGCAUUAAGCACUCCGCCUGGGGAGUACGGCCGCAAGGCUA
rnacentral:rRNA from 1 species